rnacentral:rRNA from 1 species
CCUACGGGAGGCAGCAGUGGGGGAUAUUGCACAAUGGGGGAAACCCUGAUGCAGCGACGCCGCGUGGGCGAAGAAGUAUUUCGGUAUGUAAAGCCCUAUCAGCAGGGAAGAAGAAAUGACGGUACCUGAGUAAGAAGCACCGGCUAAAUACGUGCCAGCAGCCGCGGUAAGACGUAUGGUGCAAGCGUUAUCCGGAUUGACUGGGUGUAAAGGGAGCGCAGGCGGCACGGCAAGCCUGAUGUGAAAGCCCGCGGCCCAACCGCGGGACUGCAUUGGGAACUGCCGGGCUGGAGUGCCGGAGAGGUAGGCGGAAUUCCUAGUGUAGCGGUGAAAUGCGUAGAGAUUAGGAGGAACACCAGUGGCGAAGGCGGCCUGCUGGACGGUGACUGACGCUGAGGCUCGAAAGCGUGGGGAGCAAACAGGAUUAGAUACCCGAGUAGUC